rnacentral:rRNA from 1 species
UACGUAGGUGGCAAGCGUUAUCCGGAUUUACUGGGUGUAAAGGGCGUGUAGGCGGGGACGCAAGUCAGAUGUGAAAACCACGGGCUCAACCUGUGGCCUGCAUUUGAAACUGUGUUUCUUGAGUACUGGAGAGGCAGACGGAAUUCCUAGUGUAGCGGUGAAAUGCUUAGAGAUCAUACAGAACACCGAUUGCGAAGGCAGCUUACCAAACUAUAUCUGACGUUGAGGCACGAAAGCGUGGGUAGCAAACAGG